rnacentral:rRNA from 1 species
AAUGAACGCUGGCGGCAGGCCUAACACAUGCAAGUCGAGCGAGCAUUUCGGUGCUAGCGGCGGACGGGUGAGUAACGCGUGGGAACGUGCCCUUUUCUGCGGAAUAGUCCUGGGAAACUGGGGGUAAUACUGCAUACGCCCUUUUGGGGAAAGAUUUAUCGGAGAAGGAUCGGCCCGCGUUGGAUUAGGUAGUUGGUGGGGUAAUGGCCCACCAAGCCGACGAUCCAUAGCUGGUUUGAGAGGAUGAUCAGCCACACUGGGACUGAGACACGGCCCAGACUCCUACGGGAGGCAGCAGUGGGGAAUCUUAGACAAUGGGGGCAACCCUGAUCUAGCCAUGCCGCGUGAGUGAUGAAGGCCUUAGGGUUGUAAAGCUCUUUCAGCUGGGAAGAUAAUGACGGUACCAGCAGAAGAAGCCCCGGCUAACUCCGUG